UCAUGCACUGCUCAGAUUGUUAUGAGAUAUUGUCUUGAAUUUAUGUGUGUGUGUGAGUGUGUGUGUGUACACACACACACACACACACACACACACACACACACACACACACAUA
rnacentral:miRNA from 1 species